AAUUAAAAAAACCUGUGAUCAGAUAUUCCAGGUCUUGUUGUCAUUAGGGAAAGAAAAGAAUACAUUAAUUGUAGGCAGUUGCAGCAGGAAACAUGAAGUAAUAGAACCUAAUUACUCAGGAGGAAUUCAACCAGCUCAGUGGUUAUGAAAAAUACUAUGGAGUUUUUUAAUAAACAGUUGAAGCAGAUUGGUGCUUUAAACUCUUUUUGAUGAGAUGUUCCCUUAAAUAAAAUUAUACCAUCCCCAGUACCAGUCUAGCUGAAAAGAUUGCUACCUGUAACUAACCACCAAGUUUUAAAAAGUCAUAAACAGGCAUUGGUGCUGAAAGAGCUCUCCCCAAAUUCCUGCUUAUUGCUUCCCACACAGUGUCCCUGACUUUAUCUCCUGUAGCCAUAAUGUUUGUACAGCUGCAUAAUGAGCUCAUUGGCAGAAAUGAUCCUACUCACUGGAACCUCACCCCUCCCUUGUCCACCCCAGUGUAUUGAUUUUGGGUUAGUCACCUAACCUGAAUCAGCACACACCUUAUAUCACCAUGAAGGGUAAGAUGAGGUUCAGGGAAACGAAAAAUGGCAUUUUACAGAUAUAAUGCUGGUUUAAAAUGUGCUUUAUGAAGUAAUUGAAAACAGAUAGAAUGAUUCACAGAGCAAAGGACUGCUGCAGCACUCCAGUCCAACCUCACACUCACACGGUUAAUUUCCACAUUAGGUGAAGCUGAACAGAGUGUUUUUGUAAAGUUUUGAACCAAAACUUUAUUUUGUGUGAUUUUGUUGAGUUGGUUGGUUUACCUUGCUUUUUAUUUUCCUUUUAUUCAGUUAGAAUUUCCUUUAUUUCAGCUUGUGAAUGUUAUCUAUUUCCUAUUUCUGACUGCUGAGCUCUGAGAAGAGUCUGGCUUCUUCUUCUUCAUACUAACAAGCACCCUGUGGAAGGGAAGAAUCCUUUCCUAUGACCUGCUCCCUGCACAGUUAAUUUUACAGUCCAGUAUGCAAGUAAUAAUGUUCACAAAGAUAUUUUCUAAAUUAAUAUUGUUUCAAGAAAAAUUGUUGUUUUCAUUGUACAAAUGACCUCCUUGGGAAAAAAUCUGAUUUGAAGAGUGUUUUAAUCUCUGUUUGGAGCAGAACAGAGUGGACACUGCACAUUUUGCUAUGAGACCAUGAAAAAAAAAAUCUAUUGCUUUGUGGGAAAAAAACAUUGCCUCCAAUGCUAGGACUUUCAGUAGUUUUAAAAUUGCUUUGGGCACCAAUUACAUUUUUUCAGUUUUGCUCAUUUUAAAGAAGUCUAAAUAAUAUUGAAUCUGUUUUGUGGUCCUUGCAUUAUUUCCCAACUGUUUGAAAACAAAAAUCCCUUUUUAUAGCACGUCUAUUUUACUGUAAACAACAAAGAAAAGCUGCCUUAGGAAAAGAGCUUUAAAUAUAGCUGUGAUGCUAUCAACAAGUUAGCACUUCUGCAUGAAAGCAAGUCCAGUCCAUUCCAGAGUUUUGCUGCAGGAGAUAGAAGUCAGUAGUGCCAUAGCAUACUACAUAGCUGAGUUCUUCAUCGCUCCUUUUUUGCUGGAGGGAGCUGGAGAGCUCAGAUGCAUUGGAUACAUCUUUCUGUCUGAUAAUGUAUAGCUGGGCAUGCUCUAUUUAAGUUGAAGAUUGGUUGUGAAUCCCAAAGUUUUAUAAUGCUGGGAACGAGUGUUCAUGAAGUGUGCUGAACAAACUGAAUACAGAGUUUAUCUAAAGACAGCUAGGCAGUUCUAAGAAGUGAGCAUGUUGGCUUGUCCCUUUGGCCCAAUUGCUAGGCAAAAAUCAAAAGAAGGAAUGUAACAGCCUGAGAACACCUCACAGCUCAAGGAUAAUUCAGUCCCUUGCUACUCUUUACUAGAAACAUCUAAAGAAUGAAAUUUAUGCUUUUCCUCACUCUAGUUUUGACACACAUAUGCCAGAUUUCCUCACAAGUUGCCCACUCCCCAAUCAUUCAAAGUCUGUGCUUCCAAACAGGCCCAUGGUGUGAACAUUAAAAUUAUUAUAUGCCCUCUGACAAGUUCCCACAUCACCUUUGUCUCUUAUUCUCCAAUUUCAUCUUUGUUCCUCUAGAAGUUCCCAGAGUUUGUUUAUUUCCACUGUCCCAGCUGGUGAAGGAUCCUUUUCUUCCUUCCAUUAACCAACAGCGAGUUAAAGGUCUAAAUACCGGUGGGUUUUGAGCCCUGAAGAAAAAUCACUGAAAUAUUUAAGAGUGAGCUUUACUGAACUGUUGAUAUUUCCAUGCCUCUCCCAAGGCCUAAUUCUAAAAUUAUAUGAUAUAUAUAUAUGUAGUUCAAAUAUGAGAUAGAUUGAGCUGUCAGUGAUGAUAAAUAUUAGGGACACUGUUUAAAAAAGGAGGAAGUUACUGAUUCUUUGUGUUGUGUUUUAAUAUGAUCUACUUGUGUUUUCUGUUGUGAUUUUUCCCUCGAGAUUAUAACAGGUUUUAACUCUGUCUGCUAUGAUUCUUGGUGAACUACAGUGAAGUGAGCAGGGACAGACCCACUAUCUCCACAGAGGAAAAGCAUUCAGAGAAGAGCACAUCUGAUCUCUUUAGGCACCCAGAGCUUCUUGCCAGGCUUGUCACAGACCAACAAGAGAAACUGCUGUCUGCUAAUGUCUUUUGUGCGUGAAACACUUUCAGCAAAUACAACCAGCUCCUCUGAGAGACAAAAAAAAAACCCCAAAAAACAGGAGAAAAUCAGUAACUGUAGAUCUACAGAACUCAAGAUACAGUAAAUCAGGAAUGUUCCUACUUCUUUAUAAUGAGUUUUAUGUCAAUAAAUGAAUCUGUGGAAGAUUUCUACAUGCUCUCUAUCAUCUUAUAGUUCUAGAUUAUUUUUUUUUGUUUUUUACAUUUUCCAUUGAGAUUUGAAAGGUGGAAAAAAGAGAGAACUAGUGUGGGGUUUUCCUCAAGAGGAAACAAAAGAGAAGCUUAUUUCAUUGCUAAAUUGAUCACUAAUCCUGGCAAAAUUUAUUUUGCCGUGUUAAAAACCAACCAACCAGUCAACCAACCAAAACAAACAAACCACCCCCCAAACAAUCAAUAAAAUAAACAAACAAACAUGCACAACAACAGCAACAAAAAAACCCCAGCCCCAUCAGACUGGUUAGAAACAGUGAAUUCUGAGAACUGAAAAUAAUAAAUUAUAUAAAUGCAAUUGAAAUAGAGUUAGUACUUAGUAUCUACAAAUGCACAAAAUUGGUAGAUUUUUGACCUGCUUCAGUGUUCAUCCUGCUCAUCUAUAACAAUUAUAUGUCUAUGAUUUCAAAAUGGUUAUGUUGUAUCUGAGUAAACUGUGAGCUCAAAAUUUCUCCCCUAUCCUAUUUUUCAUGCCCUAAUUAGAGCCUUUUCUAACAAACAAUAAUAAUAAAAAAACAACUUUACACCAUCUUGUGCUUCUUGGUAGUUCAAGAUAAUUAUGGAACUUAACACUCCAAAUGGCAAUUGCACUCCAUGUUGAGCACAGCAGUCAUUUUAGAACUUCAGACUAAAUCAAAUUAGCAUUUUUGUCAAAAAAAGUUAAAUAUGCUUAAAAGUUACUUCCUGAUGCAUUACGAGUAAUGUUUUACAGUGACUGUCUGUCACCUAACAUCUGUUGGACAUUGGGUAAGCCUGCUGCUAGGAUUCAUCUGUCUUUAUCUAAGGGAUUGCUCUUCUAGAAUGCAGUUGGUCUUACAUGCAAAUAGAUCUCUAAAAUAGGUCAGAUCAAUUGUACCUUCAGAAUGGUUAUUUCAUUCCACUGAUUAUAAAUUUUUUAUUUAAGUAGCUGAUCCUCUCAUAAAUCCCAUGAUGAAAUUUCUCAUUGAAUUACCUAUUUUGGAGAUCCAAGCAGUAAAAAGAUAUUGAAUUAAGUUUUUUAUAUAGAGUAGACAAAACUCUAAGUUUUUAAUUAGGUAAUUAACAUAGAGACAGAAUGAGUAAGAGACUGAAAUAAAACUUUUUUUUAUUCAGCAAAAUCCCCAAACUACUUAAGCAGGUCCUGCUUGCAAAAUCUUAAAGAUCAGAUCAUAAUAUUCCUUAUCCUUUAUUUAAGAUUCAAAAGAAAUUUCCAGUGAACUCACUAAUCAUCAAAUUAUUGCAAAUAUUUAUAAUAAAGAAGACCAUUAAACUAGUAAAACAUGUAAAAGUCAAUAGUAAAACUGAAUAUUAAUAGGAUAUCAGAGCCACUAUACAACACAGGUCUUAUCUUUUUUUUUCCAUUGCAGAUAAAAACAGUGAUGUUUAUUCUCCAGAAAAUAAAAGCUAAUGAAACAAAAGCAGUAUUUUAAAUAAUGUAGAACCCCAUAGACACAGAUGAAGCAUUUCAUUCAGGACACAGAUGAAGCAUUUCAUUCAGAACAAAGGUUUGUUUUUAAUUUCCAAAGAGGUAUGUAAAAAGACUAUUAAGUCAUAAUAUAUGCGUGUCCAUAUGUAUGCAUAUAUCUAUGUGAGAUUCAAUAACUUAUAUAUGUGUACAAAUAUGUAUAUAUGCAUGCACACAUCUUGUCAGGACUUAAAGAAUACAGUGAAAUACCUCAAGACAUUGUCAGGGAAGAAAGUUCUUAUAAAAUAAAGCACCACAAGAUGUAGAGGAGGCAAGAACGAAGCCACUAAUUCCAGGCCUAAACUGAGGUGAAAGUUUGGAAUUAGCACACUAGAUGAAACCCCACUGUGAUGUGGGACCUUGCAAUAAGUGCAGAGGGCAACCCUAGGAAGAUGCCAGGCUGAGGCAGAUCUGGAUAACCUAUCUAGACAAAAAUUCCCACCAUGGCAAACCAUGAGAAAGGAAGCAAGUCCUUAUACACAUACCAGCCCAAGCUGUGGGAACAGCAUCUACAUUCUGUGGAUGCCUGGGAAUUAGAUUGCAUAAAAGUGAUUCCUCCAGAAGAACACUCUAAGGACCCCCACCAGCAAGAAGACCAGAGGAGGAAGGGCAGGAAGAAUGCCACAGCGAUCCAUGUGGUGAUGACUACAUUUCUACUUAAUCCUUCUCUCUUCUCUCUCUGCCCUCCCUACCACACAUACACUCCUCAAUAAAAUUCAUACUCCUGAUAUUGGCGUAUGGUGUCAUUUGCACCUUAAUUUGGGCAGAAGCAUCUUUUGAUAAUCAGGUUCUAACACAUGUAUGAAUAUAUGUUCAUUUGUUCAAAAGUAAGCAUAUACAUCAUUGAAGUAGACUAAAUCCUAGGAAUCUACCUUGCCUCAGCACAAAGUAUUUGCUUGCUGAAUGAAGUCUAAAUCAAGUCAAAAUAUCUGGACUCAAAUUUAAGUUUAUGAAGUUAGAGUUAUGUAAGUUAAUUUCAAAUUGCUGAUACCAGCUUUGAUCCUAGUAUUUAGCAUUAUAUAAAUUUUCUGCUUAUAAUUGUUCCUAGAUUUGACCUUCCCUUUCACAACUUACUGCAAAAAAAAAAAAAAAAAAAAACCAAAAAAACAAAGGAAAUAAAGACACACACACACAAAAAAUGCCACUAGCGUCAGUACAGAAACCAACUAGAGAAGCAAAAAAAUUACAUAGUUUGGAUAUUUCUCUGGAGACAAGACAGGUUAUCUGAUUUCCUAAAAGUUUGUGUCAAAAUGUAUUUCUUACAUUUAUGUAAGCAACUUUCUGAAAUACAGUUCUGCUUAUUUAAUGUAAACAAAUAAAGUAAAUCAGCCCUGUGAUAACCUGGGGAGUUAAAGAUCACCUAUAGAGCAGGACAAAAACAUUCCUACUCUAACUGAUAGAGUAAAAGCUGUUGAGUGUUAGUUCAGGUUUGCUCAGAGGACAGAUUUCCCACCUUCAGUUUACAGAACUUUAGUUGCUCAGUCAUCUAAUGCUUCAAAUUUUUCUGCAUUCUCUAGCACCACUCCUGUAUUUUUCACAUACUGGAAAGUUUCUCAUUGUGUGAUCCCUCUUCUCAUGCCGAUAUCAAGCUGCUAAAUUUCAGUGAAGUACACCCCAAUCUAAACUGUUAAACAUUAUUCAUCCAGGCCACUACGUCUAUUUGGCUGUGUAUGUCAUCUGUGUGUGUCAUGACCAUGUAUAAAUAUUAUAUAAUUCAUACAGAAGGGAAGCAAUGUUUCCUGUGCAAUGCAAUGAAAUAUAUUAAUUUAUUUCAAAAUUUAUUGCAGAACUCAAAUGGGACAAUACUGAAUUGCAACAGUAAAACUUCCUUUAACUCACUGAAGGCAGUCUCUUCUGUCACAAGCAUCACUUGAAUUCUAAAUCUUGUCUGGAUAAGUGAGGGGAGAGCAAUGGAAUGUUGUUUACCAGACUUCAGUAAGGCUUUUGGUGCUAUCUCCCAUGAUAUCCUCAUAGACAAAGUCAUUAAGUGAAGGUUGGACAAGUGGAUGGUGAGAUGGAUGGAGAACUGGCUGAGCAGCAGAGCUCAGGGGGUUUGAUCAGUGGCACAGAGACCUGGAUGAAAACUUGAAACAAGUGAUAUCCUACAAGGGUUUUGAUACUGGGUCCAAUCUUGUUCAACUGAUAACUUAGAUGAAGGGGUAGAUACUUCCCAGCAAGUUUGCUGAUGACACAGGGCUGGGAGGAGAGGCCAAUACCUCAUUGGGCUGUGCAGCCCUUCAGAUGGACCUCAGGAGCCUGGGGUCAACAGUCUGGAGAGUUGGGUAGAGAAGAAUCUUCUGGAAUUCAACUCAGGAAAAUGCAGGAUCCUUCACCUGGGGAGGAGCACAGAUUAUACCUGCUGGAAGGCAGCUCUAUAGAGAGGGACCUGGGAGUCCUGCUGGACAAUUGGCCCUGCAUGUGUGCCCUUGUGCCAAGAAGGCCAAUGGAAGAGCAUUGCCAGCAGGCUGAGGGAGGUGAUCCUGCCCAUCUACUCAGCCCUUGUGAGGCCACAAAUGCUGUCCUGUGUCUAGUUCCCCCACUACAAGAGGGACAUGAGAUCCUGGAGCAGGUCCAUCAAAGGGCUAUAAGAUUUUUUUCCUAUCAUGAGAAAAAGCUGUGAGAGUUGGGCCUAUCCAGUUUUGAGAAGAGAUGACUGAAAGAAGACAUAGCCAAUGUCUAUCAGUAUCUGAAGGGAUGGUGCCAGGAGGAUGGACUGAGCUCUGUCCAGUGGUGCCGAGCAAUAGGACAGGAGCAACGGGCAGAAACUCAUGCACAGCAAGUUCCACCUGAACAUGAGGAAGUACUUCUUUAUUUUGUGGGUGACCAAGCAAUGGAACAGAUUGCCCAGAGAGAGUGUGGAGUGUCCUUCACUGGAGAUAUUUAAAGGCCAUCAGAACAGAUGGAAGGACAGAAUGCGGAAUGUGUGUUAUCUAAAGUUUCCAGACAGAAACAUUGUCUUUCCACUUAUGCUGAUUUCAAAAUGAAGCAGAAAACUUGAAGUUCAUCUGCCAACCAUCAAAGGAUUUUUCCAAGUAUACCCAUUUUCUGAAGGUAAGGUGAUUGUCUUCAAUAUAUCAUUUUAUUUCUAUAAUUUUGUAGUAGCUCCUUUAAUCUGUGAAAAAACAUCUAGAUAAGGUGUGGUUGCUAGGAGAGGUGAAGAGCACCUCCUAGGAUCUGCUUCCUCAAUUCUGUUUAACUAUUGCUGUGAAAGCUCUUUUUGUAUCCAAAAUGUUCACCAACAGGAGAGAAAAAAAAUCUCAUGUUAUUUUUCUUUUAUUCUUUUUCUAACACUGUCAAGAUUCCUUUCUUUGGAAAUGGCAGCUUUCAUGUAUAGAUUUAUCAUGGGCUUUAAAAACUUAUUGUUACACUGAUAGUUUCUGAAUCAUAACAAUCUGCAUUACAAUUUUACAGGAAUUUAGAUAACUUUGCUUUGUGGAUGUGUUUGAAAGGGAUACACCAAGUAGGAAGGAAGAUACUCAAUGUAGAUAUUCUGUAGGCUUCACUUUUUCAAACAUAAAAAUUAUGGGGAAAAUGUGCCUUUAUAAAGUCAAGAGACUUGCAUACUGUUUUAAAAUAUAAAUGAAACCAAAAAUAGUCUUAAAACCAACAGAUAAAGAAUGAGAUAAUGUGUCUUUUUUGUUAUUCUCACAAAUGUCCAGAGACAGGUUGGAAAGAUCCCCUUUUCUCUCUUUUACUUGCCAAGAAAAAGGAACUUUUCAGAUGAUCAGACUAGUCAGAAGGGCAUAGCUGAUAGAAAAGGCAAAUAAUUGCAUUCAGAUCAGUAGGAAUCCAAUUCCUUCAAGAAUAUAACAGAGUGUUCCAUGAAUAUGAAUGUGUUUCUAAAAACCUAAACACUCAGCCAGGCACAGCGAAGGCAAUCAGGAGGAUGGUGAAUAAUGCUAGAGAUAUUGGACAAACAGCAGGAGGAAAAAGCAAGAAUCCAAAGCAUACUCAGCAGGCAUUGAUGCAAGUUACACAUGGGACUAAUAAAUCACCCAAACUGACUAAUUAUGGUAGGCAGAAUGCUAGCAGGCUUCUGAAAAGAAUGUGGACUUUUAGGUACUACAGCAGUGUGAAACAGGAAGGCAGGUAUAUGUAUCAGAUGUCUGACCCAGCUGAUCUCCAGAAGAUUUGUGCAUUUUCUAAGGCAUGCAAAUUCAGUCUUGGUGUUAUCACAUCACAAUCAGUCAGAGUGCAAAGCCAAUAUGGCAGACAAAAAAAUAAAAUCUAAAGAAAUAUUAAAAAAUAAGUUAUAACAGAAAGAAAGAAUACCAAAGGGUGUUUUCAGAAAAUAAAGACUUCUGCAAUGGAUGGCAUUGACACACAUAAUUUGGGAGCACUAAUCUCAUCUGAUAUGACCCACUUAAAGAUUAUAUAAGGAAGCUAAAAUAAAUGCUUUAAAUUUUCAUUAUAAUCUUUUGGCUCCUAACUCAAGGAAAAGGACUGUCUCAUCUGGAAUGGCAGACUUGAUUAGAAAUUUGUGGGAUACCCAGAAUUUUCUGGAACAGCAACUGGAUUGAGGCAGAAAAAUAGAGUAUUUCAAAGCAGAAUACACCUAUGCUUGAAGACCCUGAAUCCCUCUGCAGAUAAGAAUAAAGUUUAUUUAUCCUUUAUUGCAUCAACUUCUACAGACAGAGUACAUUACUUUGAGCCACUACAUUUGUCUAGUCUGUCCAUUUGAUUCCCUCCCAGUCAUAGCCUAGUAACAUUAGAAUAAAUAAUGCACAAAAGGCAAGACCAACAUAUAAUAGACUAAAAUAAUUACAAAUCCCUUUGCAGACAAACUGCUAGGAAUUCUUUAUGAGAAAUAUACACAUCAAAACUUUCCCUUAACAGAAAAGCCAUUAUUCACAUACUGCAGCAGUGGAUAACAUUUCAUUAGAGCUGCAAGCCUGUAAGACUACUAUCAUAGGAUGCAAUAAUGAACAUUGUGGAAAGCAUAUUAAUCUGAAAAUAAAGUGGGGACAAAGCAGGAGUUUCUAGUUAUAGAUAUGAAAGCAAACUUUCUACCACAAGACUUGGACAUAUACAGGCAUUGUCAACAUAGGAAAAAUUUAUAUUCAUUCUAAUGCACUUAUUUUUAAAGCCUUCUCUCUUGGAACACAAUUUGCAGUCCAGUAAUUUUGAGGACUCUCACAUGCUAAAAUGUAGAUCAGCUGAAGUUUAAUUUUAGCUUGCCUUGUGAUCCCACCUGCACUUAAACAGCAUUCCAAAGUAACAGUUUGAAUAUCAGUCCAAAAAAAGGAGUUAUGUUCAAGAAUAUGAAAGGGUAAACAAAAAACUCUUUUCUGAAUCCCCAGCAUAAUAGUUUAAUUUCUAAGUAAGUUAUAAAUUAUUCUAAAAAAAUAAGAAUAUUAAGACAUUAAGGAGCUACAAAGGACUGUCUAGUAUAGAAACAGGUUGUGGCAAUCUUGGUUUUGGUUUUUUUAAAUUUUCAAAUAAAUACAGCGGAAGUGAAAUUCUAAUACAGACUUCUUCCAUAGGAACGGAUGUGUUAUCAUUUCUAGGCAAGCUUAGAAUAAUUAGUUACAGGAAAUGCUUGUUAAAAUAUGUUAUAUUUCUGAAUGGAUACUCUUGGAUUUGGAUUCUUAUUUCUGUCCUUGAGUAUUAAUUUCAGCAAGCAACUGGACUAGAACAUAGGAAAAAACAUAUCACUGUUAAAGAUAAUCAAUCAGCAGAACAGAGUAACAAAGCUGGAAAUCUCUAUCAACACUAAGAAUUUUUUGGUGCAAGCUGAAAAAAGCCUUUUAGGAACAAUAUUGUGCUUUGAAUCAUUGGAAUGACCUUUUGAAGACUUAACUACUACUUAUCAUUGCUACUACUGAAUAGUCUAUAUGUAUUUGAGUACUGAGUAUUAUUGACUUUAGAUCAGAUCUAUUUUACUUAAAUUUUUCCCUUAGAGGAUGCACAAAAUUCCAGAUCCUAAUCAUACUGUAAAUGGAAGACAUCACCUGAAUUUUCCAACAAGUUUUACUUGUUAAGUCCUAGUUUCAGUUUCAUGACAGAGGGGAAACCAUUUAGGAUUUAGCAAUUCACCUUCUAUUAUAUUAAUGCCUCAACCUGACUUUUACUGACCCCAAAUGAACAUUAAUCAUGGAAAGUGACUAUAUUUCUAUUUUAAAUGUCUCUCUAGAUGAAGUAGCACUUCUUCAGACAUGGCUCAGGUUCAGUUAAUCACACUCCAGCACCUUCACCUUUACCUUCACUCCAUUUUGUUGGGGGUAUCCCUCUGCUUGUUUUCCAGUAUUCACAGUCUUCAUUAUUAACUGGUUAUUUAUACUAAAUGUGCCAGGUAGUAUUAAAUCAGAUUUGCUUCAUAAACACAUCUUAUUAAAAGAGAUAAGUUCUGUAAUUCUGCUAUUUUUUUUUUAAUUCUGAAAUUGAACCAUAUAUGUUUAUCAGAUUUUUGAUGGAAUUUCUAGCAUACUGAUUCCAAGUCCAAAUACUCUGAGCUCAUUGCAACUUCAAGAAGUCACCAGAAGAAGCUCUCUGAAAGUUCCAAGAAGCUGUAUGUUAACAGAAAUGUAUUUAAGAGGAAAACCAGCUGAAUUAUACCAGCAAAUACCUCAAGAAAGCAGAACUAAUUGCUCCAAUUAUUACUGGAGAGCCAGAGCUCACCUGGUCCACAACACAGGUAAGUGAACUAGAAAAUGCAUGGUUUUAAGAUUUUCAUUCUCUUUUACUCAUCUAUAAAAAGAAUGCCACAAUUAAUCUGUAAUACUGAAGUAAUUCUGUUAAUCUUGAGUUUCUCUACAUUUUGAAAUACUUUCCCAAAAGAUUACAUUUACAUGCUGAAACUCAAAUGCUCUUGAAUUGUUUUCCAGAUUUUAGUUUAAUUUAUCCUUUGGCACUGACAUUUCCCCUCUUAGUCAGCUAGAAAUCAGACACUAAAAUCCAGCCCAACUGCACCAGCCUUUCUCAAGGGCAAAAAAUCCUAAAUAAGAACCAGUCAUUUUAUCAGACCAGGAGUUGCAACACCUGAGUUCCCAAAGUAGCAGAGGUGAAUUGCAUUGUAAGUGAAAAUUAGAGAAUUGCAGCUCUUGAGUAAUUUGUAAAUUUUGAAGACAAGAAGAAACAUAAAAUUGGAAAGGUAAUUUCAGACCAAUGGUAUAGACAUUUCUUUCAGAAUGUUUCAAAGGUGUUUUGGGUAUUGUUUGGUUUAUUAUUUCUUGUAUUUGUUUGUGUUUAGGGUUAAUUAAUAAUACCAAUAAAAAUGAAAAUAUUUUGUAUUUGUAAGCUCUGAAAUAUAGGAUCCAAGACACAACCUAAAGGGCAACUUAUGUUGAAUAAAAUAAUGAAAAGCUAUUUUUUGUAUAAUUAUAAAUCUGUAUAAGACUCACCAUGGCAAAAUAAAAAUGAAAAAUUAUUGACUUCUCAUUUUCAUCCCACCAUUUAUCUUUUAAAAACUAGAUUUUUAAAAAGUGCUUAAAUACACUAUUGAAAAAUUGAAUUUUGAUAGGAUGAUUAUCAAAGUAUUUGACAUUUGAUAAAGAAGAUUAAUAAGUAUUUUUUUAAUGAGUGCUAUGUAUAGAAAUAUUUAGUAAAAUGCAUAUACAUGGGUAAGAAUUCUUGCUUUGGAAAAGAGAACUUUACAGAUCUACCUGUAAAUUCUAAUUUGAUUUCUUCAGCUCUGUGGAAUGUUAGACUGCUUUUACCUCAAAUAUGGAAACAGAAAUUAUUUUCUCAUGAAUAGAGAUUCUAGAAACCUGAAAAAUGUUGGUUUUUUUUUUAAUUAUUAAACUCAACAUCAAUUUAUCAAGUACAUCUAUAAAUUUCAAUUUACUAAUUAAUUAAUGCUCAAAGCCUCAUUGAAAUGCAUCUAAAUGAAAAAAGUCAUGAUAAUUAAGUUUUAUAUUUGAGAUCAACAUAAACAUGCACUUGAAAGAAUAUACCUCAUAUGUAAAAGGAAAUGGAAUUUUCAUAACGUGUCAUUCGGUACGAAACACUCUCCAUUUUCAUGCGGUUUUCCAUUAUUACAAUGAAAAAAAUAAUCAUAUUCCCCAUGAAAUUUUGAAAGUUACUCUGUUAGGUGCUUUCCAGCUCCAAUAUUACAAUGUCUUCUUCUUUCUCAGCAUCACAAUAAUACUAAAAUAAAUUAACUCAGAAUUUCCCAAUCCAAUAAAUGCUUCAUUAUAGUGCAUCUGCAUUAAAUGCAGCAGUCAAGUCUGCUCAGCUAAUAUUUUUAUUUAAAAUUAAUGUUUUAUGUAAACACUAAUAUUAAUAAUUGAUUUAUGAAGUAAAUAUUCUGAAAUAUUAUAACUAUAGAGCCUGAAAGGCAUUAAAUAUAUUCUUCAAAUUCACUGAGUAUUGAGUCAGCUCCAUACUUUGUAUGUUUUAUUUGAAAAGCAAUGAACAUCAGAAGACAGAUAUUUUAUAUUAUUCAUUGUAAUCUAAGUAUUGAAUUACUUUAAAUAUAAAGGUAGGACACCAUUCUCAUUUACACUGAAGACUCAUUACAUUGGUGUUCUUGUGUAAAAGGCCCCUAGACAAAAUGAAGGUCAGGAUUUUAAUCUACAAUACUAAGAGAACAUAGACUAAUUUUUCAUAGCAUGACAAGUCAAAGAAAUAGGCACAUCCUUCCUACAAACAUGGAGUACCAGUGUAUAGCUGUUUGUAUUUCUUUUUACCUUCUGAAUCGGUCACUCCUACUCCCGACUGCUUUACGGGUUCUUGUCCAUUCUGGCUCAUCUUCCCUCUGUUAAAAGAUAUGGGGUUGUUGUCAAUAAAACCAUAUAAAAAUAAGAGCUAAAACAAUGACACACCUAAGCAAAUGAGGCUGGUUCUUUUAAGAAUAUUAUCUUUUUCCUCUUUUGAAGGCAGCUGCAAUCACAUCUUGCUAAGCCUUUACAUUCUUACAGAAUGGGUCCAUCAGGUACCUGCCCCACAUCAGUCUGGGGCUGCAUAUCUUCUUUCCUCACUUUAUCUUGUUAUAGUCAACAGUGAAAUAUAUAAUAAGCAGUCAUAAAAAUUGAUAUUUGGUCUACCAUACCAUUACUUCAAAGGUAAGGCAUACUCAUGGUUGUUAUCUUCUUAAAUUAUUGCUUUACUUUACAAGUUAGAUUUAGCAUAAGAAACAAUUCUGAAAACUUAACAUUAAUCUUAAAGUGAGUGGAAUAAACCAUGCCCUAGAGUUCACUAUUUUCCUGCAUUUUAUGUAGAAAGAACCUGCAUCAGAACCUUCAUGUCUAUUUUUACACAAUGAAAGUUAGGUAAAAUAUGAGCUAUCUUUAAAUAUACUUGUUGCAAGCUCUAAGGCAUGAUUAAAAUCACUCUCAAACAUUUUUGCUUCUAGUUUUCUUUUUGCCUUAUGACUCUGACUGCUAUGAUAGAGACUACAAGGCAUUAUCUCUAGUUGCAUGUGAUUCCUUGGGGCUUAAAGGGUCACCACUGUUCUUUUCUACCUGUGAGUAUAAAAGUAUCUACCUGUGAGAUGAAAACUUCAUGUUUGAAGAUGUCUAAAUUCACAGGGAACUAAAAAAUUCAUAUAAAAUCACAGUUUUCCAAGUGAAUUUAUAUUCAGUUUUAACUGAAAGCUAUUAUCUUCUUCUAUUGUAGGUAAUGCUUCAUAAAUCAUUACAAAUAUGAUGCAAGAAUUAUUUGUCCCAAGGGUUAUAUUCACUAUACAUCAUUCAAUACAUACAUCAUUCAAUUAUUUUCCACUUUUGGAUUCUAAAUGAAUUUUAUUUUACACCAAUGUAGUGCUACAAAGGGUUGCAAAACACAAAGGCAUAGAGAAUCUGGUCUUUAUCAGAGAUAAGAACAUGAGUAGCUUUCAGGACUAUUACAACUGGAUAAUAGUGUUUAAAAAAAUCCAAAUUAGAAAGACUUUAAAAGAUAUAUUCAAAUUCAUGUAACUGUAUAUAAUUAUUAAUUUCCCUUGAUAGUUAGAGCUACUUAAUAUUGGCAAGUAUUCUAAUUAGUUACCUCAUCAAGCAAUUCCCAUGGUGGCCCUAUUUAAUUAUUUUAUUUUGCUUCAAGACUAAUUGUUGCUAUGGUUAAAAGCACUUGGACUAAAACAAAGAGUUUAAAACUCAGCAUAUCCAAUAAUUUCUAUUGAUACACUAGAAACUUAGUCUAAGCAGAGAGCUUAUAACCAAAAAAAGAUUUUAAAUGGCAAGAUACUUAAAAAUAUUUAGCCUACUUGAUACUUCUCAUCCAAAUUGUAAGCUGUGGUCUUAUGGAUUUUCUGAAUUAUAAGGUCAGAGUCCCUGAAGUCAUUAUAAAGUCAGAGUGAAUGCAAAUGAUGAGUUGAAUUUCACUUAUACAUAUAUUCAGAUAAACAUUUUUAUACAGAAAUUAAAAUGGAAACAGUUAUCUGUUUUAAACAUUCUCUCCAUGAAUGAUCUGAUAGUAAACAGUUAUUUUGUCAUUCAUUUUCCUUACAUUGCUUUGUAAAACCCUGGAGACUAACAUGAAAAAUGAAGCAGGUCCUGUCUAUAUAAAUUUCCUGUGUAAUUUUAAAGACUCUGUAAGCAUGCAAAUAACUUACUCUAAAAUGCCAUAAUAAAAAAAUAGGGUAGCAUUACAAAAAAUGAGACAUGGAUAUAUUUUAUUUAAUUAAGUAUAAUUCAUGAGAACAAAUUUCUAUAUGAGAAAAUCUGAAGCUGUGGAGACUCCCUCCUGCUUUUCAGUAGAAGUGGGGCUGAUUUCAGGCUUAAGAGACCAAUGAGUCUGUCAGCCAAACAACAACUAAUUGUAGGUACUGUCACAUUGCUAGUCAACACACAGUAAAUGAUAUUAUUUGGACUUGAAUUUGGCAUGUGUGAACAGAAUAUUUCUAUCGAGAGCUCCAUCUUGUGUUAUUGUGCACAAAGUUUUUAUGUAUCUUUGCUUUUCUCACUAGGAAUGGCAGCCCAAUGGUUUUCUUUUUCUUUUGACAUUGUCAAAGACAAAGAUAAUAUUUUUUUCCCCCUUUAGUCUAGAACAACAUGAGAGAAAAAUCCACUACAAAUCAAGCAAUUGGCACCCUACAAUCUAAGCUCACAUAAUCCUCCCUGGUUCUGAAAGUGAGAUUGAAGUCUUAGAUUUAUCUCUAUUUUUCCUUUAGUUGCUAACAAGUUGUAGACAAAUAACACUGGGCUUUUUUUCUUUUUUUUUUUUUUGAAAAUAAUAAAUACUCAGAAAUAUCACAGUUCUAGAGAAUUUUCACUUCAUUAAAGUUUUUCUUGGAAGCUUAUAUCUUUUGUGACAAAUAGUUCACAACUUCAAGGGAAAAGGAAAAAAAAAAUUAUUCCAGAGAAAAUAUUGAACAACUAUUGCAGACAAUGAAUGAACAAUUACCACCAACUAAUAUUUUGAGAACAGUCAAGCUGUCAUUAUUUCAGGCCAGAAUUGUUAAGUUGAACAGAAGUUACUUCGUCCUAUAAAAGAAUAUAAUGAAAUUGAUAAAUGAUGGUGCAUGCUGACAGAGGAGGUGAAAAAAUCCUGGCAAAACUUUUCUCUAUGGAGUACUUAACUGGGUAAAAAAAUUAGAAAAUUAAAUCAUUUUAUAGGAUCAUUACACUGAUAGUAGCUUGAUAAUUCCUACAGGGACUCUGAACCAAAAAGCUUUUUCCAGCCAAAACCAGAAAUUCUUCUGGGACUCCUAAAAACUUGGGAAAAGCUGGGCUAUAUCCAGAAUAUGAAUUCCCCUUGCACUAGUAACAGCUCUUUACAGAGGGAGGAAAAUCUGAAAACUGAAACUAAGCUUUCUCAAUCCUAUAAUAGUUGUACUUUUAAAACAUAAGCUAAGUCCGUCUCUACAAAUUUUCAUCAAAGGCUGAAACCAGCACAUCUCUAUAUGAUAGCAAAAAAAUUCAGGAGGUUGAGGCAGAGGUUUGAUUGGUUAUUAACAAUUCAGUGCUCAACAAAGCAGAAUAAAAGUAUGAACUCUGGGCAAUUCUCCCCUUUACUGCUAUUCUACUGUAUAACUCAAAUCUGCAGAGGAAACUACAUAAGAUGACUGGCACAGUGAAAGUGCUAUCAAUUGUGCACGGAGGGUACAAUAUAUGAACAGAAAAACCUUACAUUCUUGGGAUAGGAAAUAGAUUAUUCUCUCCCGUGGCGCUGCUGCUGCCUUCGCUAUCCAUGCUGUAGCCACUGCCAAAGCUACUGGCUGAUGAGCCAGUGGAGACAGAACUUUCUGCAGGUCGGUGAUUAGCAGACCUUGCUGUACAGGGCAGGAACAUUUGGUUACUAAAACUUGUAGGACAUCAGUACCACCGGCAUUAAGAAAAGAAUAUGUAAUUUAUCAAAAUCACAUGCUGCAAACACUUUCACUUUUAUAUUUCACAUUCAAAUAUUGCUUUAUCAUAUUUUUGCAGAUGAAGUUUGUUUUCAUGUAGAAUAAGGUGUUCUAAACCAAAUAGUACACCACCAUAUUUUUUUCUCCAGUCACGUUAAUAGUUCAAAUCAACAGCCUGAAGGAAAAAAAAAAAGGAACGUGAUAGUAUGAUUAACACUGCUUUUCUGAUUAAAGUGACAGAAAACCAGUUAUUCAUAUGAAACAUUUCAUACAAUAAUCCUGUAAAAAUGAAAGCCCCAGUGGGCCUUACUCAUAUUCCUUGUGAAAUGUUCUUUGCUUUUGGUGAUUUUGAAGAGAGAAGUUUGCGAAGAUGUGUAAGCACACAACCUAUAGUCACAGUGAAUAUCCCCACCCCUCUUCAGACAUAACACAGCUAUGCAUUAUAUUUCUCAACUGCUCCUACCCAUCUGGAUCUCUGUUACUACAUGCACAGAAUUUUAAUGAAUGUGAUUUGAUGGGAGAUGCCUUAAUCUAAUUCAAUACCAUUUGGUGUUAGUAUACCAUAUGUUAGUUUUACUUCAGAGUGUGUUAUUUUGUAUUUUGGACAUUACUGCACUACAUGAACAAAUCAUCCAGUAUUUCAUAUUUAGCAAGUUGAGAAAUACAAAGGAAAAAGGACACAGUGACACUACACAUAGUAAUUAAUACAGGAACAAUAGAGUAGCUAUUCUCAUAUUGAAUAACACAAUUGUCUGGGAAUAUUAAUACAGAUUUGGGGAUUUUUUUCCUAAAUGUCCUCUAAUACAUCUGCUAUUUUCUUGUUUCAUCUAUUUCAACCUACUGAGCAUAUGUAUUGAAGCUAUAAAAUACCGUUUUUCAAAGCUAUUUUUCAUGAAGACUUAAUGAGAUUUUAUGUUAUUUUGCUGAACUGUGAAACUCCUAUGUAAGUAGUUAAAAAAGAUUCUUCUUUAAAAAUAAAUUACUCAAGGAUCUAACUGGAAAGUUAAUAAGAGCCAGAGCCCCAACAGUGUCUUGCUUUAAACUGGCAAUCAGUAUUUUUUAUGUCUGAGUAACUGAAUAAUAUUUUUGGUGAAGAAUGGUGCAUGCUGCCUGAUGGGGAACCAAGAAGCUGAGUGUAACUCCUCAAACAUAAUGCAAAAACAGGUGAGUACUAGAACUAGAAGCAAUAAAUGAAGCAAUUCUUAUGUCAUCAAUCCUUGAGCAAACUUUAAGACAGAACUCUUAUUCUCUACAGUGAUUCUUCACCGGUAAUCCAAGUUGUCACAUAACUUUUUUAUCAUUUCAACUCUAUUAAUCUCCUUUGUUCCACUAUUGCCCACAGCCAGAAGUGGAAUACAGAUUCCACUGCAGUCAGAUAAAAUUGUUUGCAGAUAAAAUUAUUCUUUAGCUCUAUUCCAUGACUUUAUACAUUGAUCAUAGGCUGCCUUCUUAGAGGUAAAUACAACAGAAUAAAUUUUAAAAUCAUAGUGUUAUGAGCAGAUAGUUUCAAUAUUUCACCUGGAGGAAAGGCACCCAUGUUUUUCCAGGGAGACAGCUACCUGGGGUGGCUGUGUGCAGUGGUUGCUCUAUCACUUUCAGCUGGUGGUGCUGUGAGUGAAUUCCUACGUCUGUGCUGGCAUGUCAGCAAAAUGCUGCUGAGAAAUGCUGGGCAAGAGUGACGUUUCAGAGAUGAGAGGUCAAACUCUCAAUUAUAGCACAUUAUUUCCACUUGCCUUGUAUUUAACAGACUGAAGUGUGGCUCUCUCAUGCCUGUCCCAAACUAAUUAAUUACCUCAGUUCUCAUUGUGUUUGCAUGACCUCUAUGUCUCCCAUUGUUUUCUGUUUGGAAUUCUGAGAGUUCCUUUAGGUUAGGUUGUUUAGACAGCUUUUUUUUGUGCCAUGGCAUGACACUUGCCUCACAGGUGAGUACAAAUGGGAGAUCAACACAUUUGCAAAAUCCAUGGAAGCCAAAACAAUAUUGUGCCAAUUCAGAAAAGAAUCUUCAGGCCUUCCCUUAGCCAUGAAUUUGCUUAGUGUAGCAUAUAUCUCCACCAUAACAUAUGUGGCCUGAAAGGAUCUUUUAUAUCUAGGAUAUAUUUUUACUGUCUUUGCUUUAAAAACUAAUGUCUGAAGUAAUUUCUUGUACCUUUACUGGUGGAUUUCUAAAACCAGUAAGGACGUAGAAUUUAGUUCAAUCCAGAAAAGCUUGAAUUAAGCCUUUAGAAAUGGGUUAGAAGUUUUGCUUCAUCUAUUUAUAAUCAACCCAUAGCUGUUUCUUUUGAAACAGCUGUAUCCUGAUUACACAUUCAGUAUGCUGUAUUUUUAGUUUUUCUACUGUUUUCACCAAUUCACAUAAUUUUCCAUAUCAAUGUUUAUUUUCCAUAAGGUCACUUCACUUGGUGAAUGGUUAUAAUGGAUCCAAGUUUAGGUUCAUGACUGGAUUUUGAACACUCUCAAGUUUAAUUUCAUUUUUUUUCCCUGCCUGCUCUAUGAAAGUAAUGAAUCACAGUGUCAAUUUGUGACAAGAAAUGAAAUCCACAAAUAGAUUUACAGCUGGUUUAGUGACAAAUUCAGAAUCUGGAUGCAGAGAUCAUCUCAUAACUUGUGAGACACCCACAUUUUCUAUAUGUCAAGAUUUUUACAGAUACAUCUAGGCCUCUAAGUUUCUGCUGGUUAUAUAUGAAACUUUGGGGUUCUGAUGAUGUGGCAAUGCUUGCUACCGUGCAGUAUUUUCCCUGAGCGUUAGUAUAACUAUGGUUAUAUUUCUACUCUGUGUGGAAAGAUAGAACCAGUUCCAUGCUCUUAUAUUCAAGAAACUACUCUGCACACUCAUUUGCAGUCUUGCCUCUUCUCUUUGAAUAUUGGCAAACAUUGUCUUAGAAACUUUAACAAGGAAGUCAGAGUUCACUAUGUUGCUCCUCUAGUCCUACCCAUCUACACAAAAUCUGUGAAGUCCUGAAAGUGUCAGAACAAUUUCCACCUUGCUUGGUCAAUUGGGUUCAUACCCACAUAAAGGACAGGCAACUAUUGCAUUAUAUUUCAUUUUGAUUUUACUUUUAAUCAUGGUAUUAGGGCAGGUUAAUUCUGAGUUACAGAGCUUCUGCUUACAGCUGCCUAUGCUAGAAAAUUCUUUAGUCCAUGGAUUUUGACAUCAAAGUUCUGGCAGGAGGUGCUUUGGUUGGUAGCGUUUGAACAGUUUCAUAUGGAUCCACUUGGGUCCAAAGAUUAGAUAUUGUCACCUGGUAUCACAAAGGUUCCUGAAGCUACCAGGUACAGUUUUGCUUUACUGACAUCUACAAUGUUUAUCUGAAUAGGAACACAGGUGAAGGCACUUUCCAUCAUUUAAAUAUUAAGGAUCCAGAGUGUGGAAGACCUAUGUUUCAUUGCUUCCUUGCCCCUUUGGUUUUGCAAAUUAUUCCCCAGCUCCUAUGAGCCCCCCCAGCCCCCAAAACAACUCCAAACCCAACCAACCCAAUAAACAAAUUUAGAAACUCUCAGAAAGCUUUAAAAACUAUAAAAAUACUUGUCAAAGGCGAGCUCUUGCUGCCAAUUACAUGUGAUUCUUAAAGUGCCACAUCUUUAGAGAAAAGACUCUAUGGCCCUCAGCAGAUGAAAGAGACAAAAUUUAACUGAAGGUCAUUAUGCACCUUCAUUUGGCCUCUCUCUGGGAGAAAGGAGAUAUCCCUUCACCCCCUCCAGCCCAAUUUCUGUAAACUCUUUACACAGUUUAUCAGGUGCUUGGCACUUUUUAAGGCCUGCAAUAUCAUGAUGUCUGGGCUGCCCAGCCAUUUAACUCUGAAGAACAGAAAUAUGAAAUGAAAGUGUAAAACUCUACUAUGAGCUGCUUUCUCUGAAAUAGGGCACAGAUUUUCCUAUUAUAAAAAGCUAUUGUUGUGGUUUGAUUUCAUUUUCAUCUGUUAAUCCUUUUUUAGCUGGGAGUUCCCUUGAUGAGAUGAAAUGUUCUCUACUUGGAAUGGGUGUUAAUGGGUACAUAUGUCACAUUUAGUAGUUUGAAAUGUGGUGUUAAUGCUGCCUCUGAGGGAUUCAGUUAAACUGCCUGUUUUACAGGCUCUGUCAUGAGCAAAAUUUCGGGUCAAUCAUUCUAGUGAAUAAUGUAUUAAUGAAUUGGAAAACUUCUCAACUGCUUACAGUAAUUAUUUCAGGUUCCAGGAAAGUGGAUGAUAAUUUUAUUCCUGGUGUAGGACCAGGGUUUCCCAAGAAAAAAUUAUAAUGCUUAGAUAGAUACCUUUUGUACUCUGCAUGGUUUCUAGGAAAAAUAAAAAAAUUCAACAGAAUGAUGAUUGGACAUGUAUUCCCUUAUGCCUUUUUGGAAAAUAAUUGCUAAUUCAAUAAAAUGGAGGUUAGCACUGACCCCACCUUUCAGCUCCAUCUUUUUAUUUCUAUUUUUUAGAAUUAUUAUUCGUAUGGCAAAAAUAUAUAUUUACUUAUGCUUUGGCUGAUGGACCCAGUUAGAAAAAAGACCAAAAAAUGUCAUGCCUUAGUAUGAAGAAAAUAUCAUAUUAAAAUCGGGAAGAGAGGAAAGCUUGGAAGGCAUAUGAUUUCACUUAAUCUUUCAGAAGAGUGUUUUCAACAGACAACAGAGAAGAUGCUGUGUUAAAACCUAAUAUAGGGACCAUAGAUCAUUCACACAAGACCUAUAACCAGGAGCUACUAAAUUAGUCAGCAGAAAAAUGGAAACAAUCCAGCACUCUCAGCCACUCCAGUCAUUCUUCUACACUGAAUGGAAUUUUUUUAAGACUUAAAUUUUAAAAAGUUGACUAUACAGUUCUGUGGUUCACAUGGAGGAAAGAACAGACUCAACCAGCACUUUUUCUUGGUGAAUAAAUUGUAGAUGUUCUCCUUUUCCAGUUUCUGUCUAGAAACAGAAAUACACUGUCAAAAUGCAUUGGGAGCGACAGUUCUGUUUGUGCACCAAACAGGAGGAGGGAAAAAUGCCUUCAAGUAUGGAUUCAGGAUUAAGUUUCCACAAUUAGCCUCUAAUUACUUGAAAGAAAUUCUUUUUUUAACUGUCCAUCUUCUGAGAAACUCUGGAUGACAAAAAAGGCUGAGUCUUCUCAAAGAGAUUGCAAGCCCAUGGGACAAGGUGAAAAAACCCAUGUACUCUGUGUAAUUUUCUGAAAACCAACAGACCAGGCAUCUCAUUCAGUGUCUUUUGGCAAAAGCUUGGCUGCCCUUCGCUCUCAGUAGCCUUGUGUUUCAAGUGCUCCAAUCUCAAAGUGCCCCAAAUGCCAGUUUUCCUGUUUUUAUGAAGCAUUUGCUAGCAUUAAAAGCAAGAGCUGCUCCAGCUUGCUCUGUUAGGCUCUACAGGGUGAAAUUGCUGUUGGGAUUCUUGUUGCAUCUUUUGUAAACUGGCAACAGACUGGGGAUGCAUUAACAGCUGGUGAUCAAACAUAUCUACCUCAGGUGAGCCAAGAUAGUUUAUUCUCCUAACGCUCCCUCAUACUGAACAGGACUUUAAGCCAUGGUCUCAUCCUUCUCAGCCACAGCUGUGUAUCAGACAUGGAUUUGACUGCACACUGAGCAGGGAUAUUUUGUGAAAUUUUGAGACAAGCCUUUGAGGAGAAAUUUACCAUUUGAGAUGAAUAACAGAAGAACAACACACUUCUUAAACUGUGCUGAAGUAAUUACUUUACCCAAGAAAGCAAUUUGGAUGAAAUAACUUUCCAUGCACUCUGUAGGGUUAGUCUACAGAAUGUUGAAAAAAUACUUUUGAAAUAAGAGUUUUCAAAUGAAGAAGCUUAACUAUUCUCUGAAAUUACAUGCCAGCUUAAAAUGGUGAAAUAGUAAAUAGCAAGAAUAACCAAAGCAUAAUGGGUCAGUUAUUAGAUUGAAACAAGGUUGAAAAGACAGCCUCAGAUUACUGCUAUAUGCAGAGAGUGGGAACAAACUGUUCUUGUUUUGAUAAUGAUUCUUGGAAAUGCGUUAUUUGUAGCAUUAUGAAGGCCCAUUUAACUUGGAAAUUAAGAAACUAGUGGGCAUGAGUCACUAAACAGCUUUGGGCUAUAAAUUAUUUAAGUGUGAAAGAAAUACCCUAAAAUAAUAUAGGAAAUUAAAACAUGGCAUUGCCUAUUAAAUGUGUGAAAAUGGAUACAGACCAAAAGGGAACCCAAAUUAGCAGGUAUUUGAAACCACAUUCAUAUCCAACUCAGAAGAUUUAUAUAACCUAGGAAUCUAUUUCCUUUCACUCUAUUGUUGCUAAAACCAGUAAAUAGAACUUAGUGAUAAGGAAAAUUCAUGUCAAUUUUAAUUUCUUUCAGUUAAGUGGCUAGAAAUACACAGAGCUGGCUCAGACUUGUAUCAUGGGCUGCACAGUCAUGACAAUGUCUUGAUGUAUGCAUCACAUCACAUUUCUGUGCAGCUUUACCCUAUGAUGUUGACACUUAAGUGAACUUGUGUCAAAGUUGUCUGCUCAACAUAGUUAUAAGCAGGUGUUCUACCUUUUGAACUAAAGUGUUUUAAACUGGUAUUCUUUGAGAUGUUUAAAUUGAUAGGCUUAAUUGGGUAUAAUUCUGAAAAUGUUGAUAUAGAGUUUUGAAACUGUAGGUAUUCUAACUAACAAUAUCAACUCUGUAUACCUAUCAGGGAGUAGAUCUCUCCCAGCUAGUAGAAUCCCUUGACAUACAACUGUUUGGAAAAGAUGUUGUGUCAUGAUGGAAAAUGAGAAAUGUAAAAGAUGAAAUGUUCUCUAUGACAUGCUGUGGGGCUCCAUUUUCUCCCAUCCUCCUCACCUCCACCAUCCCCACCCCAUUAUUUUAGUGACGAAAAAAAUAUAAUACCAGGUGUCAGAGGAUGUUUUAAGGAAAUGUUGUUAUUUUAAAUUGCUAGAGGUUUGAUUUUUGAAAUACCUUUCCCUUAUUGAAAAUUAGACAGAAAUUCCUGUAGAAUUAUAAUGCUGGUAUUACCUUAAAUUAACAGAUAUGUUUGGAUCUUUAAUUGAAACACAUGGCAAUUUCUCUAGAUCUUUAACAUUUGCUAACUAAUUCAGGUGAGGAGUAUAGAAGUGUUUUUAUUAUGGCAAGUUUCUUGUUUGUUUGAUCAGGUUAACGUGAGCCAAAUAGAAGAGGACUUUCCUAUGGCAUCCAUCAGCAAAUUAUAUACAAGCAAUAGCAUAUUGACUUGUAGCUUCUUUUUCAUGAGUGUCUGUUGGAAAGAAUAAAAAAUGUAUAGGGCUGCAAUGAUGUUGAAACUUAAAUUCACUUGCUGAGCUAUUUACUAUUAUAUUAAUUUACUGUUCUUCAAAGAGGUAUGAAGGUUCAAAAAAUUUCUAGAAAUUCUCUUAUUUGGUCAUAAAAUAAUGGGUUUUUGUUCACCCUUGGAUAUUCUAACGUAAUAAAGGAAUUGAUUGUACAAUCAAUUGUACAAUCAUUGUCCUUUAGGGGAAAACCUGGCAUCUCUUUCUCUGCAAAAAAGAACAAGCCAAUUAAAUUUCUACUAUGGCAAAGCCGAGGUAGUGCACCUUUCUGCUUAACACAGAUGCUGAAGUUUUUUUCUGUUUCUUGUAUUUCUUAUUAAUUUUAUUGGAAGGUAUUAAAACUACAGCAUGUUAUUCAUUCCUUUAAAUCUAUAAGCUAGGUUUGAAAAUAUUUUCUUAGUAUAAAAUCAGUAAAAAAUUAUAUUCCAAAUUCCUACUCUUUCACAUGCAUGUAUCCAGAGAACUGGUGAUGUUCUGAAUAAACAGAUCAUCUCCAAAUUUUCAAGUAUCUGAAGAACUCUAAAAUAAUUUAUUGAAAACAUAACUGACAUAACAAGAAAAUUCCAUAUAAUGAGAAGAUCCUUCUGUGGGAUAAAUUACUGACUGAAAAGAUGGUGGACUGAUUCACACUGUGUCUAAAACUGACUCAUCUGGUGGAUAAACUCUUAAUACACAGAUUUAUGUUGAAGGGAAUGUGCUUAAUUUUAAGUGAAUGUGUAAUUGGAAAUGAUUCAUAUAUUGCACAAAACCUAAAUCAAAUUAAGCCAUCCUCUGACUUGGAUCCCUUGCAACUUCUGGCUUCAAAGAGUUGGCUCUGAAAUAUUAUUGUUCCUCUCUGAGGAAUGUGAUUGGAAAGUGUAGCAUGCAGUUUGUUUCUUUGUAGAUCACACUUUUAUCUCUCAUUGGCAAUGACAAAAUUAUACUUCAGGGUUUAUUUUUAAUUAACUGCUGUAGCCGAAUGUUGGAUUUUACAAAGGUUCUGAGCAAAAUGCAAUGUUUUUUGUUGCAUCUUCACUUUAAUUUUAAAGAAGAUUGUUUUAAUUACAUUUUUUACUCUUCAAAAGAAAUAUAUAAACAAUUCAGUUCAACAAAAAACUGGUGAAAAACCUUUGUUUUCACAAAAUAUGCACUUUAUGCUAUAGGUUCUGAUGUUGUUUAUGAUUUUCUUGUUACUUCUCAACAGACACACAAUUGAUAACUGACAAAAUAGACCAAAUAGAAAGGGUCCUAGGAACCAAAAGUAGAGAAGGAUUUCUCUGAGACAUUGUCAGAAUGACUGAGGAUUCUUGCCUUGUUUGGUUUGUUUUUUCUCUAGAGCCAGUUAAAUUCAAGAGAAGAAAUGGAUCUAUUGAGAGACUAGAUCAAAGAAGGACACUCUUUCUGAGGGUUAUCUUAGGUAUAGAAGGACUUUACAGCAUAUAAUAAUUUCCAUCACCCUUGUGUACUUAGGCUGAAAAAACCCAAACAAUUCUUCUAAAAGGUGCUGUUGUUUAAUAUAUGCACAAAGAAAUAGCUCUGGUAAAAUAAUAAUAAUGAUGUUGUGUAUUAUCUAUAAUGGCUUCCUUCGUAAAGGGCUUUGAGACAGUAACAAAAAAUUACUAACGAUUGUUAAAAAUUACUAAGAUGACUGUUCCAGUCAUUAAAACCAGUUCCUAAUGCAUCCUUUUCCAGCUACCAAUAAAGUAGGGUAUAAUGGAGGUAGAUAUCACAAACAUACAUUAUCCCUUUUUGGGAAUGGACUUGGAAACUGAUGAUACCCUGAUAUUCACAGUUCACAAUUAAGGAGAAAUCUCUCCUUUCUUUAUCAUCUCUUCAUCCCACAAAGAAGUCCAUAAGUUAGAAGUUGAAUAUCUUUGGUGCUUUUUCCAUUAGAGGCUAUAGACUCAUACUUUCAUGCUCCACAAAACUGCAGUGAAAUCAUAUUAUUUUUCAUUCCUGCUAAAAGUCGUGAGAGUCAUUAACCUCAAAAUGGUAACUACUAGCCCAACUCAUAUGAAUACAUUUGGACAAACUAUCUUUGGUACAAUGAAGAAAAGCCAAAACAUCUCACAGUUCUGAAAACAGACUUUUAACCAUUGUGUAGGUGACCAUGCAUUGUGUUUAUUUGUCAGAAGUAAAAAGACAAAAGUACUACAUGUCUUCAUAAAAAUUUUAACCAUUUUUAUAUAUUAUUGUGGACUCAUUAUUAUAAUGUGGACUCAUUAUUUAUAAUGGGGACUCUUAUUCCCAUAACUCUCUAUGAUGCUUCCAAUAUUGCUGAGCCAAGUACAUAUCAGUACAUAUUCUUUUUGCAAUUUUAAAAGAAGAUAGAAUAACAGUUUGUUGGCACAGGCACUUGAAGCCAACAGACUCACUAUUUCUUUAUUAUAAAACUAUAUCUGAACCUUAUAUAUUCAACCUUACAUCACAAGCUAAAUGUUUUGUAUUACCUGUCUACGUGAAAAGGCAUCACUACAGGACUAUGAGUGUUUGCGAUAAAACUCAACAGACACGGCAUCUCAAAAGAUCAUAAGAGUCAUUUAAAUUUGAAUGGUGUACCCCCAGGAGUGGCAUGCAGCUUUCAGACAUGAUGCCUGAGCUUGUACCACAACAUUCCCUAGCUCUGCCUGGGCUGAGUGUCUAGAGGUGAGCUGUAGAGCAAUAUAAUGUGUGUCUGUGUUUGUGUAAAUAUCUGGAUUUCUGAAAGAAUUCUAAGGGCUCUCCUAAGAAAAAAACUUACUUCUAAAUAUGCUUUAAAAGACCUGUUACUUUUGCCCUGUUAAUUAGUUGUUUUAACAUCGCACUGGUUGUCUGAAUGAUUUGUUGCCUUUAGAAUAUAUUGUCUAACGUACCAUUUCCUCUUUCUCUCCUGUACCCCUCUCAGCCAGCUUAUAUUGUCCAUCAUGUGCAAUGGUGGUGACAGAAAAACCUUCAAUUCAUCUUGAGAGCUUAGAAAGGGAUUACAGCACAAAAGAACAUCUGGGAGUUCAGUCAGUACAUUUAUUUGGAUUAUCCCUCAGAUUCCAUGGAAAUAAACAAGAUGCUCCACAAGUCAAAAGAACAGUGGCAAUUUGAACUGAUUGAGAUUCUGGCUCUUUAUUUGUGAUGAGGGAAUAAAUAGAUGAUAUGUGGUAUUACAGGUGCCUACAAGUAGAAAAUAACUUUUAACGAUGCUGAUAGGAAAAUUAUCAAGAAAUUGAGCUAUACAUGGAUCAAAACUCCUUUCCUUUCCAUGGUGGUUUGAAAAAUUAUCUAUGCUAAAAACUGUUGACAUGGUAAUUGUGUUGGAAGAGGAAACAGGAAUUAUUAUUGUCCCAAUUACAUUUUAAGAAACAAAAAUGUGCAGUUAGGUUUUUGUCACAGUACAAGAAAUGUCCAAUCAUGCUUAAGCAGACCAGCUUGGAUGCAUGCUUUUUAUUAGGCAACAACAUGAGCAAAGCUAUACUACUUUUCAACAGAAUUCCAAGUACUCCAGUGGAAUGGAAGUGCACACAUUUGUUGCUUCAUAAUGCUUCUUAGCACAGUUUUUCAUUAUGGAUUUAUGCGCUGAUAGGUGGGAAAAUCAAGCAGAGUUCUUGAUUCAUGUAAACAUUUACAGCACUUAAUGGAGGGGUAAAAUAAAUACUUAAAUAUCGCAAUGAAUUAGUUGACAUGGCAAGAAGUAUUUGGGAUGUUGUUGGUUUCUUAACCAUGUCUUUCUGCUCACCUCCUUCAGGCUUGACUGGUCCAUCAGACAUCACUUUCCUGAGGGCUAGUUGGCUUUGGUCUUUGUUGUCACUGGCUGGUGGAGGCAGAUUGUCAGACUGAGUUCUUUGAAUGGGGAGGACUCCUGCUAUGCUGUGUCUGUGCUGCUUCCUGGCAUGAUUAGACUGACCGCUUUUAUGUGCUGCUGUGGCAGUGUGGGUGAAAUGGAAACCCAGAGUAUGUAUCCUCAGAUGGAACCAGCUUAAAUGUUAUUCAUGCAAACAGAAGUGGUUUUUUUCUGUAUUUAAGUAAGUAGUGUUUUCAAACACCAAAGAGACACCACAUGCACAGCAUUAAAGAGUAUCAAAACUGGCUGUUUCUGUAGCAAUGACAGUGAAGACAAGGGAAAUAAUUUCCCCCCCAGUUUUCCAUUGUACUAUGGUGAGGUUAUGGCAUAUUAACAAAUCCUAAAGACAAACACAAUGACUUCACAGUCAGAGAUUUAAUUUGCCAUCAACUAAACCCUCAGCUAGCAAUCAGAUGAUACUGGUCUGAAAUAUACUCUGGAAAGUAAUCAUUUUUAAUGGAAUAGUUUUAAUUUAUUUUAACCUGUUUGAAGUUGUCAGAUUAAAUCUACCUUGACCCUUAACCAAUUAAUGGUAAAAAUUUACUCAAAAAGUUGAACUCUUGACACCUGACUUAACUCUCAACUCCCUUUGAGUUUGCUAACUUGACAACAUUGUUGAAAUCUGAUAUUGUUACUGGCUCUGUGUGUUUAAUGGUUUUGCAAUUCUUGUGUUUAAUGUUUUUAUUGUAUUUCUAUUCUGCUCAUCACUAACACAAUCUUAUCCACGAUAUAAACAAGGUUGCCUUAUAUUUCCUUUCAAAAAAAAAUAAAAUAGAUAUUUACAGUUAUGUUCCAAAAAUAGAAAUCUCAGCCAUGUAGUUAAAAAAAAAAAGUUUCUUUAACUUCAGAUCUUCUUUUGAGUAUAUAGUACUGUUCUUCAUGAUUACUACUUAUAGAUACACCCUGUUAUUAAUGUGGUCUCAGUCUUAUAUGCAAUUUGAAGAGCUGGCAGUUGCAUCUCUGCAGGUUUUGAUUAUUUCAUUGGUAGGUAUUUAGUGACAUCAAAACACAAUGGACUUCUCUGGGAGUCAUGCACAACCAUGGAACAUCAUGGACCAUGAGUGAAGGGUCUGAUGGAGAAACAGCCAGUUUCACUGCAGUCUUUAUAAAAUAAAAAAUAAAUAACUAAAUAAAGGACUUCUAAGUACAAGAGUAUAUUGUAAUUAUAUGUAUCCACACACAGGCACACAAAGAAAGACAUUGAACAGAGUGAGCACAGUGUGCCGAGAACAACAACAAAAAAAAAUAGCCAAAAAGGGAAGGACAGCAGGGAAAAAGGCAACAGAUGAACAUUAAGCUGCCAUGCUGAGGAAUUUAUUUGCGUCUUUUACUUGGUUGAAGGCGAAGCUGCUGCACAGCUGCUUCGGCAGCGGCGAUGGCUGCCCCAGCGUCUUCAAGGUGAGUUUGAGUGACGCUGGUUUUGCUUUGGCUGCGAGAUGGGCCGUGAGAGCGGAGGUGUCCUUCAGAAGAAGAUUUGGAGCUCCCUGGGCUGCUGUGGGAUUUCUCAAUGGUGGGCACCUGCAUGUCUACCAGGAAAACGAAGAAGUACAACUCUUGCAUUUAUUAAAAACAAACAAUUGCAUUCUCUUUCUCUUGACUGGUCUUUCUAGCUGAAUUCCAGAACAAGGAAUAAAGAUUAAGCUGUGCUUUUCCAUUUAAAGCAUCAGGAUAUACCACGAUUAUGAAACUUUUAUGAAGCAUUGUUUUAUACUUCCCCACUGUUACCUGGCCCAGGGAAUAAUUUAUUUAGUAUUGGUUUUUAAUCACCUGUGAAUUGGACCUCCUGUGCUGGUUCAAACAGAUGGAAUGAUGGCGUAGUGUUUUCCACUUUCUAUUCUCUAGCAUGUCAAGGCUAAGCAGCAUCACCUACACCAGUACCAAACACUUAGUAAAUGCAAGUCAUUUUAUCCUGAAUAAUGCCAUCAGGAAAAUCACAGCCUAACUAAUAAUAUCUUCUAUACUUACCACUAAUUCAGGCAGACAUCUUAUAUAGACACCAGUCAGUCCCUGGCAAAACGUUAAAUAGAGAAAUAGAGAGGAGAUGGAGUAGAGUCUUGUCCCUCUGGGGUUCUUGUCUGGAUUGUAGAUGGAAUGUUUUUUGCUUUGAUAGGACACAUAAUGUGUUUUAAGAGAGCACCUGUCCACUGACUACUUAGUAUAAAAAAAAGAAUUAGAGAUAAAUUUCUUGAAGCAGGAGACACUGAGAUCAAUUCAGGUUUUGUAAACAUUAGUAUAUUUCUACUGUAUCAGCUCCACUGAUUUCCAAUACCACUGAGAUGUGCUACAAUCCAUUAUCAUUGACUGGAAACGCAUAUGCAUUAUUGCAUAUUGCAAUUGUUCUAUAAAAUAUUAACGUGGCAUUUUCAGAAGAAAAAAGAUUCCAUAGAAUACUUAAGGAACAUGAAAAAUAGAAAGCUAAAUAUGUAUUGAGUUUGCCAAAGGCUAUCAAGAAAAUAAAAAGGGCACAGAAUCUAUAGCAGAUAUGCAAAGCACAUCUAGAGUAGUAGGUGAGUCUGUAUGCUGGUGUUUUAAGGACGUAAUUGCUCAGUAAGCUGGCUGGCAAGAUUGAGACAAUUUAAACCUUGUCUCCAGCUAAUUAAUCACAGAGAUAAAUGCAUUUUUAAUAAAAAUGUAUACAAACUUCA